UGUGGGGGAGAUAAAAAAAAGUAACAAGGUUUCCGUAGGUGAACCUGCGGAAGGAUCAUUACAGUAUUCUUUUUGCCAGCGCUUAAUUGCGCGGCGAAAAAACCUUACACACAGUGUUUUUUGUUAUUACAAGAACUCUUGCUUUGGUCUGGACUAGAAAUAGUUUGGGCCAGAGGUUUACUAAACUAAACUUCAAUAUUUAUAUUGAAUUGUUAUUUAUUUUAAUUGUCAAUUUGUUGAUUAAAUUCAAAAAAUCUUCAAAACUUUCAACAACGGAUCUCUUGGUUCUCGCAUCGAUGAAGAACGCAGCGAAAUGCGAUAAGUAAUAUGAAUUGCAGAUUUUCGUGAAUCAUCGAAUCUUUGAACGCACAUUGCGCCCUUUGGUAUUCCAAAGGGCAUGCCUGUUUGAGCGUCAUUUCUCUCUCAAACCUUCGGGUUUGGUAUUGAGUGAUACUCUUAGUCGAACUAGGCGUUUGCUUGAAAUGUAUUGGCAUGAGUGGUACUGGAUAGUGCUAUAUGACUUUCAAUGUAUUAGGUUUAUCCAACUCGUUGAAUAGUUUAAUGGUAUAUUUCUCGGUAUUCUAGGCUCGGCCUUACAAUAUAACAAACAAGUUUGACCUCAAAUCAGGUAGGACUACCCGCUGAACUUAAGCAUACUAAAGGGGGGAGAGAGA
rnacentral:rRNA from 1 species